GCCCGACGUGGGGCUCAAACCCACAAACUGAGAUCAUGACCUGAGCCAAAGUCAGUCACUCAACCAACUGAGCCACCCAGGCGCCCUGGUUAAGCUAUUCUUGAAACAACUUGAAGUGCAAGUUUUCAGUAUUAAUAUUCAAUGACACGUUGCCAGUAUACAGUAUUUCCCACACCUUACCAUUGUCUGUGCCAUCAAGAGUGUCAGUGAAGCAGUAUUUCUUGAAAGAUCGCUUCAUUAUUGUCUUUGAGAUUUUCUUCCCAGAAGGUGACAUUCAGUGUGCAAGUUUUGGUGCUUAUGGCAGUCAAGGCCUAGUAGACAGCAACUCUAAGACCGAUCCUGAUUUCAGAAAUUUCAAAAUGUGAAAAAAAUAUACAUCUUAAAGUUUCAAAAAUAGGGUUGGGGGUACUCAAUGAAUAGUUUUUGAAUAUUUCUUUUUCUUUAAUGUUUAUUUAUUUUUGAGAGAGAGAGAUACAGAGCACAAGCUGGAGAGGGGCAGAAUGAAAGGGAGACACAGAAUCUGAAGCAGGCUCCAGGCUCUGAGCUGUCAGCCCAGAACCCGACGUGGGGCUUGAACUCACAAACCACCAGAUCAUGACCUGAGCCAAAGUUGGACGCUUAACCAACUGAGCCACCCAGGCGCCCCUCAAUAAAUAAUUUUUGAAUACUUGAAUAAAUGACUGCUGUCAACUCUCCGUGUUCUUGAGCAAGCCAGUUUUUCCUUGAGCCUUAUUUUGAACAAUUUAAAAAAUAAACAAAAACCAAAACUCUGAUCAACCUACUCUUCAAGGGUUCAAGGUUCUAGGGCAAACACUAAGACUCCCUCCACUCAGCUGUUCUUUCAGAUAAUUAAUAAGAGGUGCCAGACCACAGAUCAGAAGAUGUGUUAUGUGAAGCCUCAGGAUUUUUGCCACGUUAGGCUGGGCCCUUUCUCUCUCCCUGGUUGUAGGUGGUUAGUAUAUAGUACACAGAGCACCGUCAUCAGAGAGAAAGGAGCUAAUUAGUGAGAGGAUUUACACACAGGAAGAAAUGUAUGCCUAACCUCUAUAUAGCUCAGUUCCCAGGAUGUAGAGAAGGGAUGGCCUCUGAACUCAUUGCCAAGGUUAGAAAGUACUUGGAGGGGCCAGUGACCAGGCCUCUUGUUGCAGCCAUGGGAAACUCUCUAUCCAACAUGGGGGUACCUGGCCUAGCUGCAGAUGAUCCAAUGGGCAGAGGUUAAAAAAUCUUGGUUGUUAAAUAAGAUCUGUCUGUACAUAGUCCUCAGAAUCCUAACUCCAGAUGUGACUGAAUUGCCACUUUGUAAAUACAGAAUUGCUCUUUUAUAAACCAGAAGCCAAUGCCUACAAACUGGGGAGGUAACUUCAUGAACCCCAGAUAACCUGUAUAUAUGCAUACCACCCAGCUAAAAAUAUCUAUAGGCUCUACCCAGCAUGGCUACUUACACCAAUUCAUCUCCAUGGCCUUACACAUACUAUACAUCUCACUAUGUUUCAGGAAGCCCUAUCUUGGAUACAGUGACCUCCUGCACAUCAGUCAAAGGACUGAAACUAGAAUAGGAAAAUCAGGAUUGGUUUCUACUUUGUUUCUUCUACUACUGAAAGUAUCUGACUCUAUUGUAAUUAAUUGCUUCCUGCCUGUUUCUUUCCCUAGGUUAUGAGAUACGCCCCAGAGAACUGAGGAAGAACAAUGGAGUACAUUAUUAACUAAAAUCAGUGCAUAAUUUUAUUUUUUUUAAGCAUUCUGGAACAGAUAAUUUAUCACAGUUUGAUGCCUCAGGAAACAUUCCAUUUUGGUUAUAUGACACAGAGAGAAGCUCUCUUAAACUUCCCCUACAGACUCCUUCAUAUAUUUGGCAUGAUGUUAAUUCUUCAGGCUGGUGUGGGAAUCUUCUCUUCUCAGCAAAAUUUGAAUUUCUACUUCUAGAUUAGAGUCAAAGAAGGAUUAGAAAGAUGUUCAUUUUAAUAUUUAAAGACCACUUUAGGAAUACUUAUAAUAUCCUGCUAGUUAUGAAUGUAUUGCAUUUACUAAAAAUUGCUAAGUACCUUGCCAAAUUUUUGUUAAUAUUAUAAUCAAAGGUACUUAGUUACUGGUAUUUCUGCAGCCACUGAAAAUGCCAUGCAAUUAUAUACAGAAUAUAUUUUCUCUCUUGAAACUGAAAAGCCCUAGAGGUUCAGACUAAUGGCUGUGCUCUUCCAGAUACAUUAUUCAUUGUAAACUAGCUUUCCAGAAUCCUACAUUAUGGAAAACUAAUUACCUGUCACAUUUUUAAACACAUGUAUACUAAUACAUAUUAUGAGCAUUUUGAACAAUCUUUCAUUCCUAGUCAACUGUUUUUUGCUGUGUGCGUGUGUGUGUGUGUGUGUGUGUGUGUGUGUGUGUGUGUGUGUUUAACCGUGAAGGCAAAGUUUAAAAAAUAGAAAAAUAACAAAUUAGGAAAAUUUGACACAAUUCAUUAUUAGAGAAUGAUAAGUAAGUAAAAUGGAGGAUGAGUAAGAGAUCUACAUGCUGAAUCAACUGUUAAAAUGUAAGUCUUUCUUGCUUUUGAUUCUGUACAGAUGCCAGCCCUGAAAUGGAGGUGGUAAGAGAUGUGUUUCCCAGUUGAGGACAUGAAAGACACCACUCACCAGUUGUGGGCAAUACCUACGAGGGGAUUAGAUGGGAACUUUUGCUACAUGCCCUGCUCCCCACAUAUGAAAGUUUCCCAAAGCAUAAUAUAUCCAAUUAUAUGCCUGGAUGGGGUUUUCAGGUCACCCCAGACCAGUCUUCUGUCAGUAAGUUCAUCCUUUGGUGUAGUUUUUAGGGAAAGAUAUUCAAAACUAGUCUCAAGUACAAGUGUUCAAAAACCCUGGGGAGUCCUGAAAAAAUACAGAGAAAACUUAAAUAAUAACAAAUCAGGUACAAUUGUAUUAGAAAUAUCUAGAAUACAGAUCUCCUCCAGUCAAGCUCUCUCCAUUUGUUCUACCACCCUGCACUGACAUCUUAUUAAAUUUAGAAUGCAGUUAAAAUCCUGCAAAAUUCUAUAUGAAUUGUCCCCUGCCACCCUAUCUAAUUAGCUCCUACUACUCUCUCCUAGUGUUCCUGGCUUCCUCUACUUCAACUAUCAGAAGGUGCCUGCAAUCACUGCAUCCCUUACAUAAAUUAAAGGAGUAAAGAAGUACAGGAGAUAUUACCUGACUUUUGAGGCUUCAUCAUAAGAAGCACAAAAUCCAUCACAUGGCAGAAAUGCAGAUGGGCAUUCCAUGAGAUGAGCCAAGAUUUUGAACACAAAGCCUUCUUCAGCCAGCUGGGAGCAGAUAUAUGAAGAGCCCUUGUCACCUGAAAUUUAUUCUCCUUCCCUAUUCAUUGUUCCAGAACAUAGGGCAGCAGCUAGAAUCUGUGGCUGAAACUGAAGUUUCAGUGAGCAGUAUGGUGAGCCUAGUCCAAACCUAUGUCAUCAUCCAAAUGUUGACUUCAGAUUUCACUGAUAUUUACCAGUACCUUUGUUUUCUUGUUUUUCAUUCACAGCCCUUUCCUU